rnacentral:misc_RNA from 1 species
AACAUCGCGCACCUGCGGGAACCUGCGGAAGGAUCAUUACAGACUGACCACUGUGUCGUGGCUCUGCCAACCCCCGCGAACCUUAUACUUGUACGUUGCCUCGGCGGGUUCUUUCCCGCCGCUGGCCCUUACGCAAACGCUCCGACUAGCUCCGCGCCCCGUCUGAACGAGAAAACUUUUUAAACGAGUAAAAACUUUCAACAACGGAUCU